rnacentral:rRNA from 1 species
GACGAACGCUGGCGGCAUGCCUAACACAUGCAAGUCGAACGGAGGUUAUUUCGGUAAUCUUAGUGGCGAACGGGUGAGUAACGCGUAGGCAACCUGCCCUUUAGUUGAGGACAACAUUCCGAAAGGGGUGCUAAUACCGAAUGUGACAGUUUUCUCGCAUGAGAUUACUGUGAAAGAUGGCCUCUAUUUAUAAGCUAUCGCUAAAGGAUGGGCCUGCGUCUGAUUAGCUAGUUGGUGGGGUAACGGCCUACAAGGCGAUGAUCAGUAGCCGGUCUGAGAGGAUGAACGGCCACAUUGGACGUGAGACACGGCCCAG